UGGUGGAGUGAUUUGUCUGGUUAAUUCCGUUAACGAACGAGACCUCGACCUACUAAAUAGUAUGCGUUAUCCUUGUGAUAGCGACAUGACUUCUUAGAGGGACUAUUGGUGGUUAGCCAAUGGAAGUUCGAGGCAAUAACA
rnacentral:rRNA from 1 species